CCAAACUGGCCAUUGGGCAUAUUUUAUUAAUAAACAAAUAUGUACAAGAUAAAAGGCCACAACGACCCCACUGAAAAGGAAACAAUAUGAGAAAGACAAAACAAAAUAAAAGUAAAAGAAGAGAAAGGGUCAGUAGCAUUUGAGCAAGAAGAGCCAGAAGCUUCUUCAUCAACCUGCCAUGGCCGAUCCUUCAAUUGAGCUAUGGCGUUUCAGUUUUUUUUUCUUUGCUGUGACCGUUGCGUUGCGUGAUUGAAUUGGCUCCACAAAGCAGCUCAACACUGAUUAAGCUCAAAUCUGCUCAACACCAAUUAAUCUCACCAAUUAGCUCAGCAUUGGUGUGAAAGAGAGCCUAUCAUAUGAGGAGGUUCCGGUUGAGAUUCUAGAUCGCCAAAUUAGAAGGUUGAUGAAUAAGGAAAUAGCCUCGUUUAAGGUGUUAUGGAGUAACCAAGAGGUUGAAUGUGGUAUAUGGGAAGCCAAAGCUGAUAUCAUAUCAUGAUAUCCUCAUCUUUUUCCUUCUGUUCCUAGUUGAGGUUCAAGAGACGACGAGACGAACGUAUUAAGAGUUAUUCGUAAGAGGGACUAGUGCUCCUCCUCAUUCUCCUCCACGUGACUAGUUGAGAUUUCGUUGAAGACUACUUUUGGUACAGACGCUCGGUUUGCUGAUCCGCUCGCCUAAGACAUCCACCUUGUUGGUUGGCAGUGCUUCUUUGUCCGGAGCCCUAUUUUGAUACUAGCUUUUCUGUUGUACAUUUGUACAUGUUGGUUAAGGGUAUGACGGGGCCCUGUCCCGUCAUAUGACUAGGCUAUCAUUCUGUAGAGGUCUGUAGACUUGUGAUGUAGGUUAUGUAUAUAUGUUUUGGGCUUUGUGUUCCGUGAUGGCCUUAACGACCUUCUUGUGCUAUAUUUGUUCUCAUGCGCUCUCUAACGAACCCUUUUUGACUUCUACUUUUGUCUAUUCUGCUAACACGUUAAGUGGGGCUAAGGGUACGUAUGGGUUUCCAACUCGGGCACCAGUCACGGCCUAAGGAGUUGGGUCGUGACAAUUUAUUUCUGGCAUA